rnacentral:rRNA from 1 species
UCCGUAGGGUGCAAGCGUUAAUCGGAAUUACUGGGCGUAAAGCGUGCGCAGGCGGUGCUGUAAGUCCGGUGUGAAAUCCCCGGGCUUAACCUGGGAACUGCAUUUGAAACUGGCAGGCUUGAGUCUUGUAGAGGGGGGUAGAAUUCCAGGUGUAGCGGUGAAAUGCGUAGAGAUCUGGAGGAAUACCGGUGGCGAAGGCGGCCCCCUGGACAACACCUGACACUGAGGCACGAAAGCUAGGGGAGCAAACAGG